GGCACAUCGAGCAGCCUGGCUCACGCCACUCAAAACCGGCCUUGAUGAAGAUCUUGUCGAGACCUUCGGCUUCGGCCUGCUCCUUCACAAGGCCCGAGCCCGGCACGAUCAUCGCAUUGAGGNNNNNNCGUUGACCGUGUGACCGGCGACGACCUUCGCGGCGGCGCGCAGAUCCUCGAUGCGUCCGUUGGUGCAUGAGCCGAUGAAGAUGCGGUCGAGCUUGAUGUCGGUGAUCUU
rnacentral:misc_RNA from 1 species